GUUUCGGAAGAUGCAUUGGCUCUCGACCUUCGCCUCUCCAGUAGGGGAGUUGCAGUAAUGGGACAAGACUGUAUCUACAGAAAAAGAGGUUCAAAUAUCGUCUCAACUCUCUUGGGCUGCUCGAAGCAUUGAGGAACCACCCGGACAGCUUCCGAGCACUUUUUGUGGACUCCAUAAAGCCUCCCACUGCCAGGGACCUGUUUAAAGUAACCCAUUCCAUACCUGGCGGCAACCGGCGGUGUUUGGAGAACAACACCAUCUGCCACUGGUUCAACUGGCUGGCUGAGGUGCAAGAUGGAUAAUGUCCUCUAACAGUGGCGAUGGUGUUUGAGUUUGCUACUGGGGCAACGGUGGGUUUGAGGACACCCCGACCAUUGAAUUCCUCCACACAGCGCGAGGGCGUCUCGCUGGGCAGCAGAAGAAAAAGUCCCCGAGGCAAACACGUGUGCUGUGACACUAAGGCUCUCUCUUCAUAGCACCUACAAUGCCUUUAGGGAAUUCAUGACCUCCGGUAUUGUGAAUUCCCCACAUUUCGGUGUUGCAUAAAAACAUUUUUACGAUACAUAAUUAUAUCUAGUAGCUCUAACUUAUAGUAGCAAUUGAGUGUUUGAAAAUGUAACUGCACAUCAAUAUUUAAGCAUUUAUCUACUUACAUCUGUCAUCUGUAUUGUUUGUACAGUGCAUUCGGAACGUAUUCAGACCCCUUGACUUUUUCCACAUUUUAUUACGUUACAGCCUUAUUCAAAAAUGGAUACAAUACUUUCCCCCCCUCAUCAAUCACACACAAUACCCCAUCAUGACAAAGCAAAAACAGGUUGACAUUUUUAUAAAUGUAUUUUAAAAAAUAUGGAAAUAUUACAUUUAUGACCCUUUACUCAGUACUUUUCUGAAGCACCUUUGGCAGCGAUUACACAAUAGUCUUCUUGGGUAUGACGCUACAGGUGUAUUUAUUUAAUACAUUUUAGAAUAAAGCUCUAAUGUAACAAUGUGGAAAAGGUCAAGGGGUCUGAAUACUUUCCAAAUGCACUGUAUUUCCAUAUUGGCUGUUAUUGUUCACUUAAUGAUCAUUAAAAUUUAAUUAUACAAUAUAUAUUGCUUGUUUUGGUGUUAAAGUUACAUUUUUUUAUUAACACUUUACUAAUAACCAAUAGCCGUUGCUGAUAUUGACUGAAGUACUGCAGCCAACACAUCCAAACUUGAUGUCCUACAUUAAGAAUAAAUUAACUUCAGCCAUUAUCAUUUAAUUAGAACUAGAUGAAAUAAGGCUUCCCAUCCACUGCAUUAAGUGACAGCUCCACUUCUGGGAACUGCACCUUUGUAGUGACUUAUCAAAUUUCAAAUGCAUUGAUCUAAGAACUAGAUCCAUUAGUCCUAGGCUCUCCAACCCUGUUCCUGGAGAGCUACCCUCCUGUAGGUUUUCAAUCCAACCUCAGUUUUAUCUAACCUCAUUAACUUAUUAAGCAGGUAAUUAUUAAAUUCAGGUGCACUAGAUUAGGGUCGGAGUGAACCUACAAGACAGUAGCUCUCCAGGAACAAGGUUAGGAGCCCUGCACUAGUCCAUUUUCAACCACAUAAUUUGAGCUGUCACAAUGUGUCAACAAUGUUAUGUUACUAACUGUAAUAGGUUGCUGUUAAUCACAAUUAUAUAAAAUGUAACGGGGGCAAACCACUAUCUUCAUAGUUCAUUUUUUUUAAACUAUAGGGCGUUCUCCACACUUAUUUAAACAAUUUAUAAAAGUCCCGAUUGGGCAUUAUAAAAAUGUAAGUUCUGUUUUAAUAAUGUCCAUUCAGAAUGUUCUGUUGUCCUCCCACAGCAAGCACGCUCUGAAGGCUCCAAUCCAGUGCUCGCAGUAGGCCUCUCCUGGGUCAUGUUGUACUGAGUGGAAGACAAAUAUUGUGUCAGCAGAUGGAAUGCUGUGCUAAAGCGCCAUAGAGCAAAAUACAAUAACCAUAGGCCUUAUCUCCAAAUAUGACCAAACAAAAUCGUACUGGAAUGGGGAAGUAUUUAACAUUUGUUAAGGCCACCUGUGGCUAAACUCUGGUCCCAUCCGUUUAGAGUUAAAGAGUCUAUCGUACCUUUAUAGAGACCAAAUCAUACAGUGUGUGAAAGAUGGGGAAUGUUAGUAUUAUAAAAUGUAUAAUAGUAUUAUAAAAAUUAACUGAUUCAAAGGAACGAGUGGCGCUAAAGUCCAAUCCCUCAUCCCAGUAGGGGUGUAUGUAGUAAGUCAGGUUGGAGUAGGAACGAGUGGCGCUGAAGAUAUAAUUGCCAUAACCCUCUGUAGAUUGUCAACUCCCAGGCUGUUUCUGGGGCCUUCCAAUGGAAUUAUUGUCCGCAACAGUUGCCAUUUGUCUGAUGGUCAUAUGAUAAUCUAUGAGGAACUCAAGCUGCUCCUUGGUGAUGUGAUACCGCCUUCCCUCCAAAGGCACUUGAUAGGAUACUGAAA